rfam:Ovis aries breed Texel chromosome 1, whole genome shotgun sequence.
UCCCAGGUGGAUCAGAUGGUAAAGAAUCUGCCUGCAAUGUAGGAGACCCAGGUUUGAUCCCUGGUUUAGGAA